rnacentral:rRNA from 1 species
AACGAACACUGGCGGCGUGGUUUAGGCAUGCAAGUCGAACGUGAAAGUUUCCUUCGGGAAAUGAGUAAAGUGGCGAACGGGUGAGUAACGCGUGGGAAACCUUCCCUUCGUUGGGGGAUAACAGUUCUAACGAGCUGCUAAUACCGCAUACGACCUUUGGAUCGCAUGGUCUGGAGGUGAAAGGGGGCGCCCUCUUCGGAGAGCUCCCGACGAUGGAUGGUCCCGCGUCCCAUUAGCUAGUUGGCGGGGUAAUGGCCCACCAAGGCGACGAUGGGUAGCCGGCCUGAGAGGGUGUCCGGCCACACUGGGACGUGAGAUACGGCCCCAGACUCCUACGGGAGGCAGCAGUCGAGAAGCUUCGGCAAUGGGCGAAAGCCUGACCGAGCGACGCCGCGUGAGCGAAGAAGGCCCUAUGGGUUGUAAAGACUCUGUCAGAUUGGGAAGAAAACCUACGUGAUUAAUACCUGCGAGGCUUGACGGUACCAUCAGAGGAAGCACCGGCUAACCCCGU